UGGAAAAUGUGCCGGGUGACGUCAGCGGGAGACAGUCACAGCAGUGCGACCAUCCAUGCGGAUCGAUGGGGAAGAACGGCGGAAGCGGCGGCGCUGAGGUGUUCCGGCCAGAGCCGGGCAACACAAGACCAUACGGUCAGGUCUCCGGAAUGAAGUAGGACCGUAAGCAGCCAGGGUAUCUUGGCUGACUGCCUUACAAAACACCCCCCAGAAGGGACCUGAGGGUCACGGCUUCCCUAGGAGAUGAAGCUCACAGGUUGCCUUACAUCCACUGCAAGCACAAAUCAUUACCACUAAAUUACAGCCGGCCUGACGUUUGGAUUUCCUCCUACUGCGUGCUUCGCAAAGGAAUAGUGCUGCAGAAGGACGGCUGAGAGAAACCAGAUUUUCACAGCAACAUUUGUAAAGCUCCACUCGAACAUCUGAGAACAAUCACGGGAAGUGAAUCAAAUUCACGAAGCAGAGUCCAUUUAAAACGGCAGCAGGAGAGGUCUCCCUCACCCGUGUUUGGGUAGACCUAAAUCAAAACGCUAGGCAAGAAAAGGAAGGCUGUGACAUCAGACAGUGAAAAUAAACGUGUUGUUCUGCAUAGGUUCUGCAUG